GUCUUUUUGAUUAUAAUUUAAAGUCUGACCUGCCCAAUGAGUAGUUAAAUGGCCGCGGUAAUUUGACCGUGCAAAGGUAGCAUAAUCAUUAGUUUUUUAAUUGAAAGCUGGAAUGAAUGGUUGGACGAGAAAAUAACUGUCUCAAUUUAAUUUAAUAUAGAACUUUAUUUAUAAGUAAAAAAGCUUAUAUAAUUUUAAAAGACGAGAAGACCCUAUAGAGUUUUACAUUUAAUUAUAUUAAUUAGGUUUAGUAUGUUUAUAUUUUUAAUAUAAUUGCAUGUUUUGCUGGGGCAGCAGAAAAAUUAAACAAACUUUUUUUAUUACUAUUACAUUGAUUUAUGGUUUAAUGAUCCAUUUUUUAUGAUUACAAGAUUAAAUUACCUUAGGGAUAACAGCGUAAUUUUUUUUUAGAGUUCUUAUCGAAAAAAGAGUUUGCGACCUCGAUGUUGGAUUAAAAUUAACUUUUGG
rnacentral:rRNA from 1 species